GACGAACCGUGCGAACGUUGUUCGGAUUCACUGGGCUUAAAGGGCGCGUAGGCGGCGGCUCAAGUCGGGGGUGAAAUCCUCUCGCUUAACGAGAGAAUUGCUUUCGAUACUGGGUCGCUGGAGGGAGAUAGGGGUGCGCGGAAUUUCCGGUGGAGCGGUGAAAUGCGUAGAUAUCGGAAGGAACGCCGGUGGCGAAAGCGGCGCACUGGAUCUCUUCUGACGUUGAGGCGCGAAAGCCAGGGGAGCAAACGGG
rnacentral:rRNA from 1 species